GUGCCCGGGGGCCGUAAAGCGCGGAAGGUCGCGGUCUCGGCUUCCCCGGAACUUUUUGCUCGCUUCGCCCCGCCCCCUUCCCAUCCCCGAACCCCGCUUUCCGGCCCGCGGCGACCGCCGGCAACUGUUGUGGCUGCCGCAUUGCUCCCGCCGGGCUGUAGCUGAGCGCGGAGCCCGUGGGGGCCGGUGAGUUUGAGUUCCUGAGAUCUAGUUGGUGAGAGACAUGAUGUUCUACUGGUUGCUGUCGAUUGUUGGAAGACAAAGAGCCAGCCCAGGAUGGCAGAACUGGUCCUCUGCAAGAAACAGCGCAUCAGCUGCCGAGGCGCGUUCCAUGGCCCUGCCCACCCAGGCACAGGUGGUCGUCUGUGGAGGUGGAAUCACGGGCACUUCUGUGGCCCAUCACCAAUCCAAAAUGGGGUGGAAGGAUAUUGUCCUUUUGGAGCAGGGCAGGCUGGCUGCUGGCUCUACCAGGUUCUGUGCUGGCAUCCUGAGCACUGCCAGGCACUUGACCAUUGAGCAGAAGAUGGCAGACUACUCAAACAAACUCUACCAUCAGUUAGAGCAAGAAACAGGGAUCCGAACAGGUUACACAAGGACAGGCUCAAUCUUUCUGGCCCAAACUCAGGACCGACUGAUCUCCCUGAAGCGCAUCAACGCAGGGCUGAAUGUUAUAGGUAUCCCUUCUGAGAUCAUCUCCCCCAAGAAAGUGGCCGAGCUUCACCAUCUCCUCAACGUGCACGACCUGGUGGGGGCCAUGCAUGUUCCUGAGGAUGCAGUGGUGUCUUCCGCUGACGUGGCUCUUGCCCUGGCAAGUGCUGCCUCCCAAAAUGGUGUUCAGAUCUAUGACCGGACAUCUGUUCUUCAAGUAAUGGGCAAAAAAGGUCAAGUUACUGGAGUGGAGACCGAUAAAGGACAGAUUGAAUGCCAGUAUUUUGUCAACUGUGCUGGCCAGCUAUUGUGGAUGCUGAUGGAAGAAUUUAUAUUCGGAACUGGCAGGGUGGCAUCCUGUCUGGGGGCUUUGAGAAGAACCCAAAACCAAUUUUCACUGAGGGCAAGAACCAGCUGGAGAUUCAGAAUCUACAGGGGACUGGGAUCACUUUGAGCCUCUGUUGAGUUCCCUUCUGAGGAGGAUGCCAGAAUUAGAGACUCUGGAGAUCAUGAAGUUGGUGAACUGCCCAGAGACCUUCGCAUCAGACAUGAGGUGCAUCAUGGGCGAGUCUCCUGCAGUGUAGGGCUACUUUGUCCUGGCAGGAAUGAACUCUGCUGGCCUUUCAUUUGGUGGAGGAGCCGGAAAGUACCUUGCCGAAUGGAUGGUACAUGGUUAUCCCUCAGAAAACGUUUGGGAAUUGGACCUGAAACGUUUUGGAGCCCUCCAGAGCAGCCGCACCUUUCUGCGCCACCGGGUCAUGGAAGUCAUGCCUUUGAUGUAUGAUCUGAAGGUUCCCCACUGGGACUUCCAGACCGGUAGGCAGUUACGCACCUCUCCUCUCUACGACCGGCUGGAUGCACAGGGAGCCAGGUGGAUGGAGAAACAUGGAUUUGAGAGGCCAAAGUACUUUGUUCCCCCUGACAAGGACCUCCUGGCAUUGGAGCAGAGCAAGACUUUCUAUAAGCCAGAUUGGUUUGACAUCGUGGAGUCUGAAGUCAAGUGCUGUAAGGAAGCUGUGUGUGUCAUUGACAUGUCCUCUUUCACAGAGUUUGAGAUAACAACCACUGGGGAUCAGGCAUUAGAAGUUCUACAGUACCUCUUCUCCAAUGACCUGGAUGUGCCUGUGGGCCACAUUGUGCAUACUGGCAUGCUCAACGAGGGUGGAGGGUAUGAAAAUGACUGCAGCAUAGCACGACUGAACAAGCGCAGUUUCUUCAUGAUCUCUCCAACCGACCAGCAGGUCCACUGUUGGGCCUGGCUUAAGAAACACAUGCCGAAAGACAGCAACCUGCUCCUGGAGGACGUCACCUGGAAGUACACAGCCCUCAAUCUGAUUGGCCCUCGAGCUGUGGAUGUGCUGUCUGAGUUGUCCUAUGCCCCUAUGACUCCAGACCACUUCCCAAGCCUCUUUUGCAAGGAGAUGAGCGUGGGCUAUGCAAAUGGGAUCCGGGUGAUGAGCAUGACGCACACAGGAGAGCCAGGAUUCAUGCUCUACAUCCCCAUAGAGGUGAGAGGGCCCCCUCCCCUCCCCUCCCCUCCCCUCCCCCACUGUGGGGUGCCAGUGCUCCCAGCAGCGCGUUCACCAGCACUGGCAGGUUUGGAGAGCUGUAUCUGAUUGGGCCUUGGGAACUGAGGUAGGCUGCAUUGAAGAGAUUUGACCAUUUUUAA